rnacentral:tRNA from 1 species
CAGCAAGAAGUAUAAUUGUAUGUGUAGUUUCGGCCUACAUGGAGGGCCUGCUGGUUCCUUGCUGU